rnacentral:rRNA from 1 species
UACGAAAGGUGCAAGCGUUACUCGGAAUUACUGGGCGUAAAGCGUGCGCAGGCGGCUUUGCAAGACAGAUGUGAAAUCCCCGGGCUUAACCUGGGAACUGCAUUUGUGACUGCAUGGCUCGAGUACGGUAGAGGGGGAUGGAAUUCCGCGUGUAGCAGUGAAAUGCGUAGAUAUGCGGAGGAACACCGAUGGCGAAGGCAGUCCCCUGGACCUGUACUGACGCUCAUGCACGAAAGCGUGGGGAGCAAACGAGG